rnacentral:rRNA from 1 species
AGCCUCUUGUAAAUAUAAAAUAAAAGGUGAAGCCUGCCCAGUGACUUACGAGUUAAACGGCCGCGGUACCCUGACCGUGCUAAGGUAGCAUAUAAGAUACCCUUUAAUUGGGGGUUGGUAUGAAUGGACUAACGAGAGCUAAGCUGUCUCUAAAAUAAAUAAUAAAUUUACCUUUAGGUGAAAAGGCCUAAAUAUACUUAAAAGACAAAAAGACCCCAUAGAGCUUUAUUAUUAAAAAAUAGAUAAAAAAUAUAAUAUAUCUUUUUAUUUAUCAAAUACAUAAUUUAACUGGGGCGGUUAAGGAGCAAAUACCCUCCUUUCAAAUUAAAGGAAACAACCCUAUAAAGAUCCUCUAUAGAUUAAAGAAAAAAGCUACCUUGGGGAUAACAGGCUAAUACCUUUUAAGAGUACAUAUCGAAAAAGAUGUUUGGCACCUCGAUGUUGGCUCAGGAGAACCUUGAAAUAGCAGAAGUUUCAAUUGGCAGGUUUGUUCAACCUUUAAACUCCU